AUACAGAGGGUGCGAGCGUUAAUCGGAAUUACUGGGCGUAAAGCGCGCGUAGGCGGCUACUUAAGUCAGAUGUGAAAUCCCCGGGCUCAACCUGGGAACUGCAUCUGAUACUGGGUAGCUAGAGUUUAGGAGAGGGAAGUAGAAUUUCAGGUGUAGCGGUGAAAUGCAUAGAGAUCUGAAGGAAUACCAGUGGCGAAGGCGGCUUCCUGGCCUAAAACUGACGCUGAGGUGCGAAAGCGUGGGUAGCAAACGGGAGUAGAUACCCCAGUAGUCC
rnacentral:rRNA from 1 species